UACGGGGGGAGCAAGCGUUGUUCGGAUUUACUGGGCGUAAAGGGCGCGUAGGCGGCGUGACAAGUCACUUGUGAAAUCUCCGGGCUUAACCCGGAGCGGCCAAGUGAUACUGUCGUGCUAGAGUGCGGAAGGGGCUACUGGAAUUCUCGGUGUAGCGGUGAAAUGCGCAGAUAUCAGGAGGAACACCGGUGGCAAAGGCGGGUCUCUGGGCCGAUACUGACGCUGAGGCGCGAAAGCUAGGGGAGCAAACAGG
rnacentral:rRNA from 1 species